rnacentral:rRNA from 1 species
UGGGGAAUAUUGUACAAUGGGCGGAAGCCUGAUGCAGCGACGCCGCGUGGGGGAUGAAGGCCUUCGGGUUGUAAACUCCUUUCGACAGGGACGAAGCUUUUGUGACGGUACCUGUAUAAGAAGCACCGGCUAACUACGUGCCAGCAGCCGCGGUAAUACGUAGGGUGCGAGCGUUGUCCGGAAUUACUGGGCGUAAAGAGCUCGUAGGUGGUUUGUCGCGUCGUCUGUGAAAUUCCGGGGCUUAACUCCGGGCGUGCAGGCGAUACGGGCUGACUUGAGUGCUGUAGGGGAGACUGGAAUUCCUGGUGUAGCGGUGAAAUGCGCAGAUAUCAGGAGGAACACCGAUGGCGAAGGCAGGUCUCUGGGCAGUAACUAACGCUGAGGAGCGAAAGCAUGGGUAGCGAACAGG